rnacentral:rRNA from 1 species
UACGUAGGUGGCGAGCGUUGUCCGGAUUUACUGGGCGUAAAGAGCGCGCAGGCGGUCGUACAAGUCGCGUGUGAAAGCCCCCGGCUCAACUGGGGAGGGUCACGCGAUACUGCUCGACUUGAAGGCAGGAGAGGGAAGUGGAAUUCCCGGUGUAGCAGUGAAAUGCGUAGAUAUCGUGAGGAACACCAGAGGCGAAGGCGGCCACCUGGACAAUUGCUGACGCUCAGGCACGAAAGCGUGGGGAGCAAAAGGG